rnacentral:rRNA from 1 species
ACGCUCGACACCUACGGAGGCAGCAGUGGGGAAUAUUGCACAAUGGGGGAAACCCUGAUGCAGCGACGCCGCGUGGAGGAAGAAGGUCUUCGGAUUGUAAACUCCUGUUGUUGGGGAAAAAGNGGAUGGUACCCAACAAGGAAGUGACGGCUAACUACGUGCCAACAGCCGCGGUAAUCUGAGCGGGCUGGCAAGGC